CUUCGUGGCAGGGCGUGGAGCGCGUCUGGCGCCCCGCUUCGCCCUGCGGAGCCCGAUUGUGGCCCCUUAAACCUUAAAAAAAAAAAAAAAAAAGGCACGAAGUGUCCCGCGUGAGUGACAUUUCUGGCGGUAGCCAGACUGGUGACGGGGGCUGGGUGGAGGCCGGGGUUUCCAGGGAGCGGGGUCGCGGCGCCUAGCAAGCGUGCCGACGAGAUUCGGGGCUGUGUCCAGCUGUCCCCCCGGAAGCUCACGUCAGCAGGUGUGGAUGAGCUGGCUGCUAGGCUCUAAUUAGGGAACCUGUGAGGAGGGACCUAACGACCUCAUUGGGAACCCGUCUCGUGGAGCAAUAACAAACCUGAAAUACAGCCCUUGCCACUGGGUUACCAGCUGCGUGACCUUGGGUGGCCUCUAGGCCAAGCCUUGAGUUAGCAUGAGCAUGAAGUAUGUGUGUCUAGUAGUAGGGCACGCACUUGCUCCCCACCUGGUUAGCAGAGGAUUUGAUGGUGAUGAGAACAAAGCACCUGGAAGCGAGGUCCUUAGGAGAUCAAGGUCGUAGCAUUCCCAAGAGAACCAUGACUUCCUUCUUCUCCUGGAAGACCCGGGCAUCCCUAUCCAGCUUACUGCUGACAGGUGGUGGUGGGUGAGGUGGGGUGGGGCUGCUGUGAGCACUUGGCUCCUCUGCCAGGGUCUGAAGACCACCCCGCUGUGUUCAUGGCUUCCUGGGAUACCUCCGGCAGGGUGCUUACCUGCUCUGAGAUUGCUGACUCCUGUCCAGUGGGGAUUGUAGCACCCAUGCCACCUUGGGUGAGCUGAGGGAGUCCAUGCUGCCUGGAGCAGUGCUGGCCCUCUUUACAAGAUGCCAAUACAGUGGUCACCGGGAAGCAGAAGUGAAGCUGCUGCUUUUCACUGACCAGCGGUCGAGCAGUGCUGUGUUCCGUGCCUUGUCUGACCAGGGAGGGCAGGGCACCCCUGCUGACAGGUACCAGAUGCCUCUUCUCUGGGCCCUUUCAGGAGUAGGUGGUUGGCCCUUUUAUAUUCAACUCAUUGAAGACCCUGUGGCUCAGAGAAACCAUGACAUCAUGCCACCUGAGGCCCCCAAUGAAACAUCCUUUGGAUUGAUGUUUAUGCCUCCUCCCCCACAACAAAAAAUUAAAUAAAUAAGUAGGAGGCUUUCGUGGCAGAGCCGUUAAUUUCUAACCUGUUGUCUUAGCCCACCACCAGGCCUGUCGCUAGAACUGACGGAACAGUGGCAGUUCAUCAUUUCUGGUACUGGCUGAUAUGUGUGGGCAACGUCAGACAGAAAGGGAUUCCCCCUCCCAAAUUCUCUUCUGUGAUUUCAAAAUCCUGAAUGUGAUUGAUUUCCAGAGUUAUCAAAUAGCCUCUGAUUAAAAGUCAUCCUGUAGAUACUUAGGUAGGUAAAGAAAUACUAGUGUCAGGUCAGGUGAGCUUGCCAGGUUAGACAGUUUUACUUCUGCUUUAGAAUUAUUCAAACAAAUGUUUGACAUCAGAGUAGCUACUUCCGACACUUUCCCUCACAGAUUAUCUAGAUCAUCUGUAAUCCAUUGAUACAUGUGUCACUGUUGAGAGCUAACAUUUUCUUCUAGAUGUUUUCAGGAGUGAUUCCUCAUGGAUAAUGAGGAAGUUUCACUGAGAAACUAGGGAUCCUUGACUCAGGAGUGUAAAUUAAUACAGAGAUCUCCAGAACACUUAGAUGAGCCAUGCUGGGCAUAGUCUAGAGUGAGGUCCAGAUACAGAUGCCUUGGUAGCAGGGCCACUAUACGGAUAUCAGGGAGAAGGGAGUGGGGGUCAAGGGGCUAGAGUGCUGGGAGGUGUAUCAAGCGCACUCGCCUGCAGGGUAAUGAGCCCAGUCCUCAUUGCCUUCUUGUCACGAUGGAGAUUCCUUGUUCUUGAGAGGAUUGGCACAUCGGGCAGGUUCCUCAUAGCCCCAGAGCUUCUGGGGGGCUCUGGGUACCUGGUGGGCCCUGGUCUUGGUCUUACCUCCUGACAUGGUGGGAAGAGGAUGGCACAGCUGUGAGACACUGCUGCCCACAGGGGCUGAGCUGGGCACCUUCUCACUGAGCCCUCCAUUCUGGGGCCAGGUGGACCAACACAGGUCUCAAUCCCUGUGGUCCUUCAGGCUGGGUGAUUCUUUGUAGCGGGGGCUGCGUAUUAUAGGAUAUUUAGUAGCACCCCUGGCUUCUGCCCACCAGAUACCAGUAGCACACCCCUGGAUGUCUCCAGACAUUGCCAGAUGUCCCCUGGGGGACAAAAUCACCCUAGUGAGAACCACUGGACUGGAUUUUGCUUUGUGGAACUUGUUUUUAUGUUCUUACAAUAGCGGGGAGAGGAGGGCUCUUGGGACACACCUUUGUGUCCUGGGCCUGGCUAUGAGUCUUCACCUGUGACCUUGAACUGUGGUGUCUUUUUUUAAUAAAAGUAACUUCUGUCUACUUUCCAAAUUAUUCUGCUAAUUAUCCUGUUAAUAUUUUGGUGUAUUGACUUCUGUUUUUUCCCCUUCAGAGAGCUGAAGUAAAAUCGUAUUUUAGAGACCUUUACUGCUACCCAAAUCAGGUGGGGGUCUUCCCAGCCCAGGAGAAAGGAAUGGUCUGGCAUUGGUCCCUGGGAGACCUGGCUCUGGACUCUGACUCCUCCCCUUAGACUCCCCUGUGCCUAUCUCUGUGCUCACCUGGGGCCUCCCUGGGCCUGUCGGUCCUCCCAGCCAGGUGGGCCCUAGCCUGACCCAGCUCAGACCCCAUCCCAGCUGCCCUCUUCCUCACACAUGAUGGGCUGGGGAGCAGAGGCAUUGCUCUUAGCUGGGUCUGUGGGCGGACCCCACAUUCUGCUGUGUCUCUGAACUCUGUAUAGGAUUGUUGAAAUGUUCUGCUUUUAAUUUGGUGACAGUCUUGUUGACCAAAUCCUGGUCUGCAGUUUCAAAGCCUGGGUCUGUGCCUGUUGUAGAAAGUCUGGGUGCCAAUUAUAUGCCUUAAGUUAUAACUUUCGGUGCACUUUUCCACUUGGUCUUGGCUGGAUUUAGGGCAUCAUGUGUUCUCAAGUUUGAGGAACAGCCGUAAACAUAAGCACUUGGUCUUAAGAGACAAAUAUCCUGAGUCUAAGAGGGUGGCAGGAACCUGGGUAACUUCUUUUUACUUUAGGUUUUUUUGUUUACAGAGAGUGAGCCAUUCCGUCUCUCAGAGGUGGUUGUAUUUCUUCAAGGAUGCAGGGGCAGGCACCUAAGCAUGAUUCUCUUCCUCUUCUCAGGCUCUAGAGCGCUGUCUGCUCUUACCCAAAAGAGUCUCCGAAUCCUGCCAGAGCGAGAGCAUGGUUGAAAUGCCGUCUUACCCUCUGUGUCCUCUUGACCUUCUUGUCUCCCACGUGACUGCUCAGGGAAGCAGCAAGAAGGGUGGGGCCCUGCCUGACGCAAGAGACAGAAGUCCUGCCUCCAGCCAUACAUCAUAGCCAAACAGUAAAGAAGCCUGCUUUGCUAGUGUUAACGUAUACAGACACAGAGAGAGAGAGAGAGGCAGAGACACAGGCAGAGGGAGAAGCAGGCUCCAUGCUGGGAGCCCGACGCGGGACUCGAUCCCGGGACUCCAGGAUCGCGCCCUGGGCCAAAGGCAGGCACGAAACCGCUGAGCCACCCAGGGAUCCCUGAGUGUAUUGGAUUUAAAUAAAAUACACUAAAAUCAAUUUCAUCCCAUUUUCUUAACGUGGCUACUAGAAAACCUAAAAGUAUGUGUAUAUGCAACUCACACUUCUGCCGGACGUGUUGCUCUGUGGCUUUGUCCUCGUGUAUAUCUCUUGUCUGUCUGCUUACUCUGGUAGAUGUUUUAAACAGAAGAUGCCUUGCUCUGGUUGUCUUCCCCUAGCUGCCCAGAGUUACAGUGAGUACCAGUACUGUGGUCUCACCCUCCCUGUCUUACCUUGUCUGUCUCGUCUCCUCUUUGGUAGACUGGUAAGGUUUCCUUUGUCCCAUUUAAUUUCCUUGGGUGGUUUGGCAAGCUCGCAGCCAUACCCCGGUUGUGACAGGUCAGACGUUGUCCCCCUGGCCCCCUGGGGAGUAGUGUCCCUGGUGGAGAACCGCUCCUCCUGUUGGUCUGCUGGUAUGAGAGUGUCACCUCCAGGGACUGCACGGCUGUACAUGUCUCACUCCUCCCCGGCCUGUGUCUGAGCUCCAGUAUGCCCUUCCUCCCAGCAGUGGCCACCACUUUACCACCCCCAUGGAUGUAUGUUUGAGAUGGUUCCAGUCUUCGGGUUUAGGAAUAAGACGACUGCGCAUUUGUGUAUGAGUCUGUUUGUGGGUAUUACAUAGUCGUUUCUCUUGGGAUUGGAAUUGCUGAGUGAUGUGGCAUGUGUAUGUUUUUCUGUCAUAAGAAACAGCCAGACCCUGUUCCUGAGGAUCCCCCACACCCCUGCCAGCAGUAACAUCCAAGUGUCCUCAGCCUGGUUGGCGGGUGGUGUGAAGUCUUCCUAGCACACAGUAGCAUCCCAUCUUCAGGCCCUUCUGAGAAGCAGAACGAACCAGUAAGGAAGAGAGAAAUGGAGUGGGAGAGGGGUUGAAGCCUGGCCAUAAAGAAUUGGCUUAUGGUAUUACAGGGCCUGAGAAGGUCUGCAGUGGGCAAGCUGGAUCCCCAGGAGGGCUGCUGGAGCAGCCGUGGUCAGGUAGCCUGCUUGACUUAGCCCACCAUUCACAGUGGUGUUCUCCAGACGGGCCCAGAGCAGUGUCCUACCCAGGUUCUGGGCACUUUGUGGCCCAGGCAGGUUGACCACACAUAAAAUUAGCCUUCACAUGUCCGCUGUGGCUUUAAUUUGCAUAUUUCUGACUAAUGAUGUUAAGUGUCUUUAUUACUACUUCUCUGUAUAUCUUCUUUUUGUGACUUUGUUAAAACUUUUUGUCCAUUUUAUUUUAUUAUUUGGGGGGGUUAAAAAAAGAUUUAUUUAUGUAUUUGAGAGAGAGUGAA